GUGGGGAAUAUUGCACAAUGGGCGAAAGCCUGAUGCAGCGACGCCGCGUGAGGGAUGACGGCCUUCGGGUUGUAAACCUCUUUCGCCAGGGACGAAGCGCAAGUGACGGUACCUGGAUAAGAAGCACCGGCUAACUACGUGCCAGCAGCCGCGGUAAUACGUAGGGUGCAAGCGUUGUCCGGAAUUAUUGGGCGUAAAGAGCUCGUAGGCGGUUUGUCGCGUCGGCUGUGAAAACUGGAGGCUUAACCUUCAGCGUGCAGUCGAUACGGGCAGACUUGAGUUCGGUAGGGGAGACUGGAAUUCCUGGUGUAGCGGUGAAAUGCGCAGAUAUCAGGAGGAACACCGGUGGCGAAGGCGGGUCUCUGGGCCGAUACUGACGCUGAGGAGCGAAAGCGUGGGGAGCGAACAGGAUUAGAUACCCUAGUAGUCC
rnacentral:rRNA from 1 species